rnacentral:rRNA from 1 species
CGAAAGCCUGACGGAACAACGCCGCGUGAGGGAUGAAGGCCUCUGGGCUGUAAACCUCUUUUAUCAAGGAAGAAGAUCUGACGGUACUUGAUGAAUAAGCCACGGCUAAUUCCGUGCCAGCAGCCGCGGUAAUACGGGAGUGGCAAGCGUUAUCCGGAAUUAUUGGGCGUAAAGCGUCCGCAGGCGGUCUUGUAAGUCUGUCGUUAAAACGUGGAGCUUAACUCCAUUUCGGCGGUGGAAACUACAAGACUAGAGUGUGGUAGGGGCAGAGGGAAUUCCCGGUGUAGCGGUGAAAUGCGUAGAUAUUAGAAAGAACACCGGUGGCGAAAGCGCUCUACUGGACCAUUACUGACACUCAGAGGCGAAAGCUAGGGUAGCAAAAG